rnacentral:rRNA from 2 species
AAAUUGAAGAGUUUGAUCAUGGCUCAGAUUGAACGCUGGCGGCAGGCCUAACACAUGCAAGUCGAGCGGUAGCACAGAGAGCUUGCUCUCGGGUGACGAGCGGCGGACGGGUGAGUAAUGUCUGGGAAACUGCCUGAUGGAGGGGGAUAACUACUGGAAACGGUAGCUAAUACCGCAUAACGUCGCAAGACCAAAGUGGGGGACCUUCGGGCCUCAUGCCAUCAGAUGUGCCCAGAUGGGAUUAGC